rnacentral:rRNA from 1 species
CGAGCGAACAGACGAGGAGCUUGCUCCUUUGACGUUAGCGGCGGACGGGUGAGUAACACGUGGGUAACCUACCUAUAAGACUGGGAUAACUUCGGGAAACCGGAGCUAAUACCGGAUAAUAUUUCGAACCGCAUGGUUCGAUAGUGAAAAAUGGCUCUGCUAUCACUUAUAGAUGGACCUGCGCCGUAUUAGCUAGUUGGUAAGGUAACGGCUUACCAAGGCAACGAUACGUAGCCGACCUGAGAGGGUGAUCGGCCACACUGGAACUGAGACACGGUCCAGACUCCUACGGGAGGCAGCAGUAGGGAAUCUUCCGCAAUGGGCGAAAGCCUGACGGAGCAACGCCGCGUGAGUGAUGAAGGUCUUCGGAUCGUAAAACUCUGUUAUUAGGGAAGAACAAACGUGGAAGUAACUGUGCACGUCUUGACGGUACCUAAUCAGAAAGCCACGGCUAACUACGUGCCAGCAGCCGCGGUAAUACGUAGGUGGCAAGCGUUAUCCGGAAUUAUUGGGCGUAAAGCGCGCGUAGGCGGUUUUUUAAGUCUGAUGUGAAAAGCCCCACGGGCUCAACCGUGGAGGGGUCAUUGGAAAACUGGAAACUUUGAAUGCAGAAUGAUGAAACGUGGAAAUUCCAUGUGUAGCGGUGAAAUG